rnacentral:lncRNA from 1 species
UCUGCCAGUAAAUUGUGAAAACAGUUUGUGCUUUCCUCAGUUCAGUUGUACUUCCCAAGAAAGGGAGAUUCAGCAAGAGUUUCUAAGUUACCCAGGCACUUAGAAAAGACCCCAAGCACUUUUUACAAUGAUGAAUGAGGAUAUUUAUUCCUCAACUCAGGUUUAGUGAUUGACUCAGACAUUCUGACUGCUGCAAUGACACUGAAGUUGGGAUAUUUGAAAUGAAUCAGUGAGCAGAACACUGAAUUGAACUUAUUGCUGAUUUACUACCUGAUAUCUGCACAGAACCCAACAUUUCUGAUUUCCUCUUUUAAAUCUGGCAGCUCAACCAUAGUUAUAGUAAGCCUUGCUUCACUCUUUGAUUGUGAACAAGUAAAAAGCAAUGAAAUAUUAGUUACAUAAAUGUCUAUCUCUAAAAAUUCUCCAUGGGUGAUAAAUAAUUAACUGGAUUAUUUACUUUUUUUUUUUCCCCAGCAAUAAUAUACAGUGCCUGAGUUAAGAGGUGACUUAUCACAGAUAUCAAGCUCUUCUGGAAGUUCUCUGUUUCCUGCACUGUUUCUGGCUUGGUGCAGCCCUGGACAAUGUCAGGGAUGUGGUGUCACCACUUGAAGAUCUCAGGAAGGACAAAUCAAUUUUGAAGACCCCCUGGCAUCGCGCCGAGGAGCUGCGGAACCAGAGUGCACCUCGGGCCCAGCUGGGUGGCCAUCACUCGCCCUCCCAGGGUCCCCGCGGUGAAGGCUCUGUGAGGGUCGCGGCUGCGGGGGCCACACAGGCAUCACCGCGGUUGGGAUGGAUCCAUAGGGAUGUGUGUCCCUUGUGACUGAUGCCGGGGACAUGACUGCUGUGCGGGAU